GAGUUUUUGAUUGACAGCUCCCUGACAAGGAAGUCGAUACUGAAGACAGUACAGUGCAACGAAUCUUAGAGAACGAUCUGCAUGCUGUUAUCUUUAUUGUUUGUACUUAAAACUACUUUCUUAUUUAGUUAGUAUAUUAGUAAUUGGUAUUUGAAGUUGGUAAAUCAUGCGCGGUGUGGAUCCAAGCGUCCUCCUCAUCCUCAGGUAAAUGAAUGUAAUUCAGAUAAUAAAGAAAAUCGCUAAAAGUUGUAUUCCUGUACAGUAGCAAUUCUGUCUUUACUUAGCUCGUUCAUUGUGUGCUUUAUACUUUCUGUCAGGUAUUAUUUUAUAGACUGUAAGAUUAUUUUCUUAAAAAGGAACGAACAACUUGCAAUAUAACAUCCAAUAAAGACAUGUUACAGAUUAUUGGGUUGUGAGAAAAACGUGCUAAAUGAAAACAUUGCUGCAUAGUUACUGUACAGACAUUAAAACUUUUAGCGAUUUUAUUAUCUCGGUUACAUAAAUGUACCUGAGGGUGACGAUGUCGCUCUUGCAAACAGUCUCCUUUUAAAGAAUUAAGUCCACUUAUAAGUCAAGUACUGUAUCUUUCUUUUUAAACUCAUGGUGAAUGUACAGUAUUAUACCCCUUUCUUUACAUUCACAGAAAGUACACCUCAUAAAACAAUACCAAUACAUUCAAAUGACAUUUAUGUUUUUUAAACGCUACAACAAAACAAAUUCAUAAGGUGACAAAAUUAGAGGCCUUAAGAAUGAUUUAUUAAUUUAGUCUGCCUCUUGCAAACAUCAAUUUCAUUAUGUAUUUACACACCUACAUAAAACAGGUUAAAGAAAAGCAGAAGAGAGACUUCUUAAACUAUAAACAAGCAUUUAAAGAUAGAAACAUAGACUGCUGUCUUGACGGCCUCUAAACCCACGUAAAGUUGCAUGUGAAUAUGGCUAGUGAUGAGUAUAUUUCAACAUGUUACAGUUUUCAUUAUUUUUAUUAUUCAUUUAUUCUUUACAUAUAGGUUAUAGUUUGAUAAAUAAUGUACGGAACAAUACGUUUUUGUGAAAAUCAUGUGAGGUGCGUCUGGCGCAUCACCCAUGUGAUAACCAAAAUAGAUUAUGUUUGCAGAGAAUUAGGAACUAAAACCAGCGCAGACUGAAACUGAUGCUUACCAAGGCUUACAAGAAAUCAGCUGAUUUCUUAAGAAGAGACCGCCUCGAAAACUGAACUUGUUUGUGUCUGUUUAUAAAUACUGGGUUGAGGGAGAGACGAGCAGUGCAGAGUUCCUGACAUAAGACUCGAGUAGUUUUGUGUAACUAGGGACAGACGAACCCAGAGCUCUGUAUGCUUUAUUCAUGUGGUGUUUGAUUUAAUAAAUCUUUUGAAGAGAAUUUCUACUCUCCUGAGUUAUUGAACACGCGGACUUGAGGAUUGCUUUGCCAAGUCCAACACUAGCUAUCCUGUCUUUACUCGACGUUGGCUUGUUGUUACGGCGUGAUAGAGCCUGGAAGCGUGUCCUUCUUUUAAGUGCGUGAAAGUUGGCAACCCUGCUAAUAUACUAACAAAAUAAGAAAGUAAUUUAAGUACAAACACUAAAACAAUACUAUACAGAAAACCGCAAACAGAUCGCUCUCUAAUCCGCUGCACUGUGUUCAGUUUCGACUUCCUGGUCAGGGAGCUGUCAAUCCAAAUCUCACUAACCAAUGAGAGUAAAGUGGCCAUAAAUCCCGCCCACACGUGAGAUUUGUGCCAGAAAGGCGAACGAAAAAUUGAGAAGCAUAAACGAAAACUCGGAAAGCGCAAAUGAAAAAUCUAGCAGCGAAUUCAAAACUAUUAUUUGCAAAAACGAAACUUAGAAAAUUGUUAAGAAAUCAUGUCACAUUCUUACAACUGAGUUUAUUGUUUUCAUUAUCAAAGUGUUUUUUUUCUUUCUCAUUGUAUAUUUUUGUUCGUUUUUUAAAAGUUUGCGUUCAUUCUUAUUGGCACAAAAGGAAUCCCAUAGUAGACUCCCAUUUACUCAUAUUAGACAUAUUUAGCUUUUUAACCCCCUCAAUAAGAGUCGUCACCUGUUGGCAAAAUCUCUAAUUUUUAAAGAAUAAAGGUUAUGCUGCUUGUUAAAAUUCUUCAUGGGAUUUCUAUCACCCUGAAUCUUUCACUUUUCCCCCACAGGGCUAAAGAUUUGUACACUGAUGUCAGUGAUGAAGAAUUGGACAACAUUGUUGCAGAAAUACAAAGAAAUCGCCCAAACGCUGGGUACAGGAUUACACAUGGUCAUCUUCGAACUCAAGGACUCCGUAUUCAGACUUUAAGGGUGCGCGAGUCAGUACAAAGAGUUGAUCCAGUGGCAACUCAAAUGAGAGCCCUAUCAAUAUCCACACGUCAUCGCCGUCAAUACUCAGUCCCAGGACCAAAUGCAAUGUGGCAUAUUGAUGGAAACCACAAGUUAAUAAGGUGGAGGUUUGUUAUUCAUGGAGGUGUGGACGGCUUUAGCCGCUUAAUUGUUUACUUUAGUGCUGCGACAAACAACCGGGCUUCAACGGUUCUUGACAGUUUUAUUGGAGCAGCUGAGAGAUUUGGAAUCCCAUCUUGAGUACGCUCAGACAAGGGCUUGGAGAACAUUGAAGUGGCACACUUUAUGGUAGCACGCAGGGGAGAGAACCACACUUCCCACAUAACUGGAAGGAGCGUCCACAACCAAAGGAUCGAAAGGUUAUGAAGGGACGUCUAUGAACAGGUCCUAGACAAGUUUUACUGCUUGUUCUAUGGAAUGGAGUCUGAGGGUUUACUGGAUCCAGAUAAUGAGGUCCACCUGUAUGCACUACACUGGAUUUUCCUACCUCAGUUGCAAAGACAUCUAACACUGUUCCAGGAUGCAUGGAAUAACCACAAAUUAAGAACCACAGGCAGCCAAUCCCCUCUACAGUUGUGGACAACCUUCCAGAAUGAUGAUGAUCCAGACCAGGUGGAUGGAGAAUUUGGAAUAGACUGGGAUGGACCAUCAUGCAGUGUUGAAAUAGAAGGAGUAGCAGUCCCACAAGCACAACUACAGAGAGAACGUCUUGGCUACGGAUGUAACCUCAGUUCCCUGAUGGAGGGAACGAGACAUGGACGUUCCAGGGGUCUGCCUGGGAUGCCGUUACGUGCCCUUCCCCUGUGACAGAAGGUCCUCUGUCAGGGGAAUCGGCCAGGGGGGAGUUGUUGUCAGAAGCACCAGCUCUGAGAACCAAGUCCGGUUGGGCCAGUAGGGCGCAACUAGCACCACUUCAUGCUCCUCUUCCCUGACGUUGCACAGGGUCUGUGCAAUGCGGCUGACUGGGGGGAAGGCGUACUUCCGCUUCCGCUAGAGAUUGAAGUCUCGAAGUCGAUCAGUGUGAAGGCUCCGAAGAACAAAAGGUGAAUGAAUGCAGCACGCCGUCUCCCUUUUAUACCCGGAUAUCCGGGGGCGGAGUCCGGCAUGCAAAUUUCAUUCGCCAAUUUCAUUGGCCUUUUCUAAACUAGUCAGAAGUUGAUAGGUUCUCAAGAGCGAACCCCAUCUGUCGGCUCGACACAACGUCGACAGAAAGGGAACUGACUGCUGCAGAGAUUGACACUUUGCCCAAUCCAGGGGUUGUUUUUACAGAAACAGUAGACACUUAUUGUGAAACACUACACCAGCUAUCUCAUUUAUUGGUAUAGACAAACUUCUCCCCAAAAUAAACAUUCACAAUGAAUAAUGUAAUGGACUAACACACAACGUUAUUCAUAGAACUCAUACAUUCUUCUACACUGCAAAAUAUGACAUUCUUACUAAGUGUUUUUGUCUUGUUUUGUAGUACAAAUAUCUAAACAUUAUUAAACCAAGAUGCACUUUCUUGACAAGAAAAGUGACCUAAGAUAUUUAGUCUCUUUUUAAAGAGAAAAAAACAAGAAUUAAGUAAGUUUAUGAUAAAAACAAACAAAUAAAAUCUGCCAAUGGGGUGAGAAAAAUAAACUUGAAUUAGGUAUUUGAGAAAAAGGUCAAAUUUAAUUCAAGUUUAUUUUUCUCCCCCCUUUGGCAGGUUUUUUGCUUGUUUUUACCAUAAACUUAAUUCUUAUAUUCUUUUUCAUGAAACAAGACUAAAUAUCUUAGGUCACUUUUCUUGUCAAGUAAUUGUAUAUUGAUUUAAGAAGUUUUAGAUAUUUGUACUACAAAACAAGACCAAAACACUUAGUAAGAAUGUUUGCAGUGUAGGAACUAACAUCUAUAGUUGCUGGAUUGACUGAUUUUGUUUCGUUGUUUAACUUUAACAACAUCUGUAAUUACUGGAUUACUAGAAAAAUAAAACAAUGCUUUCUGAAAGAAUUAGGUGUAUUUUUGAUUAACAAUAACAGUCGUCAAUUCUACAACAAUUUAAAAAUGACUUCAAACUAAACCAAAUCCAAAAGUGUUGCUGGACACAGCUGCUUUCAGAUCAGAGCUGAAUUCAACGUAAUCAUUGUAAUGUAAGGGGAGUUUAAUAGUCUCCCUGCAUGUUAAAGCAGUUGGCAUUCUGACGUCAGAUGACACUUCCACAUACAGUUCUUGUGGUAGGCUUGUCCAUCCAACCCAAAACUUUACAAGGUUUUUUAGGUCUUGUGGUG